AUGGCGAACCCUUGCUGGUGGGUGGUGGCGCCGCAGCCUGUCUCUAAAAACUGUAGGAAAAAUAACAUGGCCAAGAACUACCUCCGUUCACAAAUGGCAUACGGAAGAGCAAACACACGAAAAUUUGACUAUAUACAUAUGAAUCAGAAAAAAGUUGGAACAUCUCAUAAUAGUGACGAAGGGAGUAAGGGUGUGUUUGGAUUGUGGCCAAAGUGCACCUUAUCAAAAUUUUGGACCCAAAGAUUGGUCUUUGUUUGGAUGGUUGCCAAAUUUUUGGCAUGCCAAAUGAACUCUAGCCAACUCUAG
rnacentral:rRNA from 1 species